UAGACGGUAGGGUAUUGGCCUACCGUGGCUAUGACGGGUAACGGGGAAUUAGGGUUCGAUUCCGGAGAGGGAGCCUGAGAAACGGCUACCACAUCUAAGGAAGGCAGCAGGCGCGCAAAUUACCCAAUCCUAAUACAGGGAGGUAGUGACAAGAAAUAACAAUACAGAACCUUACGGUUUUGUAAUUGGAAUGAGUUAAGUAUAAACCCCUUAACAAGUAUCAAUUGGAGGGCAAGUCUGGUGCCAGCAGCCGCGGUAAUUCCAGCUCCAAUAGCGUAUAUUAAAGUUGUUGCAGUUAAAAAGCUCGUAGUUAAUCUUCUGUUAAUUUUUAUAUAUAAUAUCACGAUAUUUAUAUAAUAUUAACAUAAUUCAUAUUACUUUUUAGUAUAUGAAACUUUACUUUGAGAAAAUUAGAGUGCUUAAAGCAGGCUAUUGCCUUGAAUACUCCAGCAUGGAAUAAUAUUAAGGAUUUUUAUUCUUCUUAUUGGUUCUAGAAUAAAAAUGAUGAUUAAUAGGGACAGUUGGGGGCAUUUGUAUUUAACAGUCAGAGGUGAAAUUCUUAGAUUUGUU
rnacentral:rRNA from 1 species